rnacentral:misc_RNA from 2 species
AACGCACAUUGCGCCCUUUGGUAUUCCGAAGGGCAUGCCUGUUCGAGCGUCAUUAUCAACCAUCAAGCCUGGCUUGUCGUUGGACCUCUUGUCGGCGAAACACCCGACAGGUCCGAAAGAUAGUGACGGUGUCGUGUUCGACCCUAGAUGCAACGAGCUUUCAUAGCACGCAUUGAAGUGGUCGGCCGCCCCGGUCUCAACCAUCAUUUUCAAAGGUUGACCUCGGAUCAGGUAGGAAUACCCGCUGAACUUAA